UGAGUUUUCUACCUCAUCAACCUUCGUUAUCAUCUUGUUCGCUGACUGCCUUUUCCCUAAUCAGGUGGUGGUGAAAUUUUUACAGUGAAAAUGAAGACACUGUGUAUUCGUGGUUCUUUUCAUGCAGACAUCUACGUCUGACCCUGGAACAACGUGGAUCUACCGAUACGAGGAUGUUUUCCAAUAGUAAAUAAUACUACAGUAUUCCAUGAUCUGCUGCUGGUUGAAUUCUCGGAUACAGAGGAACCAACUAUAAGUUACAGGGGGUUUUUCGACCGUGUGAGGGUUGGAGCCCCUAAUCCCCGCGUUGUCUAAGGGUCAAGUGUAUUUAUACUCAUAAGCAAAGGCUUGGACCGGCAGCUCACACAGACCACCCCCUACCCUUACAUGGGCUCAUCUCCUCGGUGGGUGCACCACAAGGCUAACAUGGGCCCACAGAAUCCUGCGGCUUCCCUCGGGCCUGGGUGUGGUGGGCAGGCAGGGUUGGCCUAAAAGUAUAUAUUGCCUUCUAUGUUUUUCCCUAGGAAAAGCCUCAAAUUAACCACAACAGCUGCAUUUUCAGAAAGUCAUUAUUGAGGUAGAGAUAGCUAGCUGUUCCCCCUCCUCUACUUCCUCUUCUUUUUCUUUUGUUACAAAACCCCAAAUUAUAGCUGGGCACAUAACCACCCAGAAUAAAGGAGCCAUUUCCCAGCCUCUCAUCCACCACGUACGGCCUUGUGAAUAAGCCUAGCCAGUGGGAUGUGAGUAGCCUUGAUGCAUGCAGCUUUCAGGUGUCACCCUCAAGUGGAAGGGGUGCGACCCUCCCCCUUCACCUUCCCACGAGUGGGAAUGACCCACGCAUGACUGGAGGCGGCGUGCCAUCUUGGACAAUGAGAUCAACACGUCAGCAAUGGGUGCAUCACAUACAAGGAGGGCUACGAUCCUUCUUUCCACACAGUGGGUAGAGUUCACCGGCGCUGCCUGGCCCCCUUUCCUGCACUUCACCAUGUAAAUGAGAUGGGAAAACUGAAGCCCAGAAUAUUUAAGUGACUUGUUCAAAUUAGUAGCUGAGCUGGACAUGAACCCAGACUGCAGGCCUCCAGAGGCCACCUCUGCCCUGACCUGGGUGUUACAGAAGAUGUGGGUGUUACAAAAGAUGUGGAGAUGAUUAAGAUUUUAAUGUGGUCCUUCAAGAUAACGAACGUGGGAGAAAUAAAUAUACAUAUACACACAAUUCCGCAUAACACAGGACAGAGCAUUCAAAGCACCGUAACACGAGUAAAAUGUAUUCUCUCGGUACAGAGGCAAGAGUAUGAAGCCCGUUUCAGGGGCUGCAGAAGUGUGUGGCCCACUGGAGUGGCUCCUGUCCCAGAGGAUGUAGCAGGCCCCAUAUGAAGGGGCUCCCACGCUCACUACCUACCAGUCUUGCUUCUCCAGCUUGGUCCCCAAUCCAGCUCCUCUGUCUUGCAAUCUCAAUUUCCCUCUGGGAAAAAACUUCCUGUCCUUGGCUCAGGACAUCCUCAGACAGCCUUUAGGCUGUGCCUCCCAAGUCUCAACCUUAUUUAAUAGUAGGUCAGAGAGCCACAGUCUAGGCCCAGUUGAGACAUUGGAAAGAAAAGGAUGCAGGCACAGAAAGGUGUUAAAAAGGCUACUGAAAUAUUUCAGGCAAUAGAUUCCGAAGGGCUAAAACAGGGCAGUGGGAAUUGCAAAAUGAGAACAGAUUUUAAAGAAAUGUUGGAGGAGUAUCUAUAGGAUUUCCUAACACACUGGAUGUGGGGAAUAAGGAAAACAGAGACGUCCGAGACUAGAGACUGACUGUAGUGUAGCUGUCUGGAGGAUGAGGUCACCAUUAACCAAGGCAGGUUAAAUCGGAAAAGAGCUAAAUACAGAAGUUUCUAUAGCACAAAUUUGGGGAAGACUAGAAAGUAUUAAUGACAUUCAUUGUGGACAUAAUUGUUUAGGAUGUCUGAGGCCUUACACAGCUCAAGCGCAUGGUAAGGGUGGAGGUGUGCUAGAGACGGUCUUCAGAGGGACAGGUGAAGAAGAUUAUUGGCUAAAAACGCGUGGGGGGCUUCCCUGGUGGCGCAGUGGUUGAGAGUCCGCCUGCCGAUGCAGGGGACACAGGUUCGUGCCCCGGUCCAGGAGGAUCCCACAUGCUGCGGA